AUGACCUCAACAGUAUAGAGGCCG
rnacentral:siRNA from 1 species